GUGAAUGCUUUAGAAGCUAGUUUCAUACAAGCACCUUCAGGGGAAAAUGUUGACUGGAGUCUAUCUGCAAGAAUCUCUACUUGCGAUGUUACGGUUUUCAGGGAAACAUAUGACCGGUUUUUAGAAUUUAUGAAAAGGAGCAAUGCUGUUAGCCCUACUGUAGCAUUAGAAACUGCAACUGCGUUACAGAAAAAUAUUGAAAAGAUGACUCGCAGAGCUCAG
rnacentral:misc_RNA from 1 species